rnacentral:rRNA from 1 species
GACGAACGCUGGCGGCGUGCUUAAUACAUGCAAGUCGACCGAAGCAGUGGUAGUUAUAUCCCUGUGGGGGUGGCGCACGGGGGAGUAACCCGUAGGUAAUCUGCCUUCUGAUCUGGCAUAACUCCGGGAAACCGGGGCUAAUAGCAGAUGAUGCUGCGGCUCGACAUCGAGACAGUUGUUAAAGCUAUGGCGCCUGAAGAUGAGCCUGCGUCUGAUUAGCUAGUUGGCGGGGUGACGGCCCACCAAGGCAACGAUCAGUAGCUGGUCUGAGAGGGUGAUCAGCCACACAGGAACUGAGACACGGCCCAGACUCCGACGCGGGGCAGCAGUAAAGAAGAGGGCGCAAUGGGGGAAAUUCUGAAGCGGCAACGCGCCGGGAGGGGCGAUGGGCUGUGGCUUGUAAACCUCUGUGGAGAGAGAAAUAAUUCCCAAUCGGAGGGUCAUGACGGUACCCGAAAAGUAAGCCCCGGCUAACUACGUG